CGAGCCAUGCCGCCGCAGGCGGGCGCGGGGCCGGAGUGCCCGCUUUUAUAGCGCAGCGGGGCAGCGAGGGACCGCAUCGGCCGUGAGGUCACAAUGGCCCCGGGGGAGCCCCCGGUUACAGCGGAGCUCCGCGGAGCCCGUGUCGCCAGCGGGCUCACGGUCGCCACCUGGAUAUGCCGUGAUAGUAUGCAAACUUCUUCCUCUGAAAACUUUUCAGAUUUGGGCACACACAUUUCACAUCUUCAGUAUCAGAAUUCUUUAGAUUCUUAUGAACUUAGAGGGGUGUCGGCUGGCGUUUAUUUAGUUUUUUUGCUAGAUUGGUAAUGUAUUUGCGGGCAGAAUUAUUAUUCCAAAUUCCCUGGUGCUGUGGCAGGAGACAAAGGAAAACCACGAGAAAUUCCCACGGAUGCUUAGACUCGGCGUGUGCUGACUGAUUUUUGCAAAAUGUAGCCCUGGCUACUGUGAAUGAAGAAUGGAUGCCAGUGCGAAAAACAGAAUAACUCUUCAGUAUUUUAAAGAAGUUUAAUAGGGAAUAAAAUAAGAUACGAAAGUCCAGCGCUGGGGUGCUCCUUGCAAACAGCCAAAGACGACGCUGUAGAUUUGAAACAAUUUGCCUUUAUAGUGUACCGUUCAUCAGGCUCAUGCAUAUUCAUGUUUUAUUAUUCAAACUUAUUUGGCAAUUUUUAUAGGGCUUUAUGAGAAAUUUGUCAGUAGAUCCUGGAGAGCCGGUACCCUUACUAUGCAGCUGUGCAGAUUUUAAGAAAAAUACCGCAGGACAGUGCUCUCAGGCACAUGGGAUAGUGGGGACGUCCUGUGCAGGGCCACGAGUUGACGGUCCUCGUGGAUCCCUUCCAACUCAACAAAUUAUGUGAUUUUGUAAUUGGUUCGGUGAUUAAGAGAAGAAUAAAACCGAACGUACGGAAGAAUUGGCAUACAAGGAACGAGAGAAUCUUUUGACAGCACCGGCCGGGUCCCUCAGCCGCCUCAGCCGCCUCAGCCGCCUCAGCCGCCUCAGCCGCCUCAGCCGCCUCAGCCGC